CGGCUCUGAAAUCACUGCUCUGACAACACUGCUCCUGAACUGCAGUAUUACCUAUUGAUCCCAGCUAACGUGGUUUUAACAUUCAAUGUAGAUGAAAAGCUAUAUUAGAUUUUUUUCCUGCUGUUCAUUACUAUUUGUCCGGAGACAACUGAAUUAAGAAAGGAAAGUGAUACCCGUUAAAAGCUUGGUUCAUGCUUUGUAAGGUAAGAUACUGAAGUCUAACAUUCGCAAACUUCACAUCUAGUUCUUCUAAUUCGUAGACAUAGAAUAUUUGAAUGGCCCCACAUAUAUAUCUGUUCCCACAAAACUGAUUGAAUUCACUCAUCUCAAAUGGAUAACUGACCCACUGCUCAAAUGUUCUCCUUUUCAACCGAAUUAAAAGCUAUUCCAUUAGAAUCUAUGAGGCUAGCAGAGUCAAGAGGUUCAUAUUAUUUAGGUCAGCUUGGAACUGUUACGCUAAAGUGCAGUUUGACGAAUGUAACCUUUCUAAACCAAUUUGUUUCUUUUCCCUGUUUCUUUCCCAGCUCAUCCUCAGCAAAGGGCACAUUAAAGUUGAAAUUACCUUAGCACUGCAUUUUGAGGCCUGAUCUUAUGGAAAUAAUAUUACGUUUAUUACAACUGUGCAUACAUUUUGUAUCGACUAUGCAUUAUUGUGGGUUUCAAGAUGAAAAUUAUUGCAAAUUAUAAACAUCACAGAAUAUAUGAACAUUCUCCAGAAAAGCAUAAAAAAGCACUAAAUAGAUUUAUAUUCAAUAGUAACUGGCAUUAAAAAAAAUAAUACAAAAACUACAUCACUCAACACCUUAUACGCACAUUAAAAAACAAGAAUGAAACCAAAAGAAGAUUGUCCCUUUACACUUCAAGGGGAAGAAAAUGACAGAAAGAAAACAAACAAAAAACACAACAAAAGAAAGGACUGCUGUAAAUUAGCAUCUUUUCUGAGCAAAGUUAAAAGCUGACUGCUCAAAUACUGUUCUAUUAUUUGGUGCGUUCACAGUCUUUAAUGAACCUGUGCUACAGUAUUAGAAAUGUUUUCAUUAGAACCUUUUACUGCCUUUCAAACUUGCAGAGAUUUAAAUCAUCAGAAUGUCCUUACUAUUCAUAAGCUAACAACAGACACUUGUUCCACUUCUUAAUACAAAAGAAUCCUUCGUUCGAUUGCCUUGCGGCAUAUAGGGCAUUCACUCAUUCGGUCUCCACAGAGCUGACACGUCCCAUGGCCACAGAGAAAGAUCAUAUUCUUCAGACGGUCCAAACAGACAGGACACAUAGUCUGUUCCUUGAUGUCCUGUAACUGCUGCUGCAGCUUCUGUACAUCUGCAUUGACGUUAGUGUUGUCUUUGUCUUUCUGCAUAACUGGAAUGUUACCACUUGAAAUAUCAUCAGUGGUAUCUUCUGUACCUUUCCCUCCACAGCACAUUAUGAAAGGCACUCUUCGUUCUACUACUGCCCGACACUGUACACAUUUCUUCAUCAAGCUUGCACAAUUCUCACAAGCACACAUAUGACCACAAGGCUGGAAAAGGACUGCCGCCUUUUUGUCCGAACACACUACGCAUUCUUCAAUCUUUGUCCUCGACUGAACUUGUUCUUUACAGAUGAGGCAUUUUUUCACCCGUGGUGAGCACAGAGAACAAGUGGCAAUAUGUCCACACGGGCCAAACAGAGUAUCUCUUUUCAUAUCUGAACACACCAUGCAUUCUUCUAAGGUUUCAGAGUCAUUGUUGAUCAUAGAUGGACUUCGGGAACCAACCUGACCACUGACUUUUUCUUUGUGGCAUUUUGCCAGUGCUUUGCAGAGGCUAGGGUCAGGGCAGAGAUCAAGAGGAGACUGACCCUUCUUAUUACGAAUGCUGAGGUCGGCUCCGUUGGCUGCCAGGAAGCAGGCAAUAGAUGCUGCACUCUUCUUCUCUGCUCCCUGAGUGCCAAGUCCCAUUAUUAAUGUGUUCUUUGAUGGCUCCCAAGCAGUAUCUACCUUGCCCACAUCUUGCAUGUCUUGGAGCUGGCGAAGCUGUGACAGGGUGUGGUGUCGCAGGGCUUCAUGCAGGGGAGUAUCCCCAUCUUUAUCCUGGAUAUCCAGCUUAGCACCUGCACGGACUAAGAGCCUAACAAUCUGUG
rnacentral:lncRNA from 1 species